rnacentral:rRNA from 1 species
AGGGCACCACCAGAAGUGGAGCCUGCGGUUUAAUUUGACUCAACACGGGGAAACUCACCCGGCCCGGACACUGGAAGGAUUGACAGAUUGAGAGCUCUUUCUUGACUCAGUGGGUGGUGGUGCAUGGCCGUUCUUAGUUGGUGGAGUGAUUUGUCUGGUUAAUUCCGAUAACGAACGAGACUCUAGCCUACUAAAUAGACCUCGGCAUUCUUUGUACUGUCGAGGCGCUUCUUAGAGGGACAGGCGGCGUUUCAGCCGCAUGAGAAAGAGCAAUAACAGGUCUGUGAUGCCCUUAGAUGUCCGGGGCCGCACGCGCGCUACACUGAAGAGAUCAGCGUGCAUGUGCUUCCUACUCCGAAAGGAGCGGGAAACCGAGUGAACCUUUUUCGUGCUUGGGAUUGGGGAUUGUAAUUAUUCUCCAUGAACGAGGAAUUCCCAGUAAGCACAAGUCAUCAGCUUGUGUUGAUUACGUCCCUGCCCUUUGUACACACCGCCCGUCGCUACUACCGAUUGGAUGUU